rnacentral:rRNA from 1 species
GAACGCUAGCGGGAGGCCUAACACAUGCAAGCCGAGCGGUAGAGAUCUUUCGGGAUCUUGAGAGCGGCGUACGGGUGCGGAACACGUGUGCAACCUGCCUUUAUCUGGGGGAUAGCCUUUCGAAAGGAAGAUUAAUACCCCAUAAUAUUUUGAAUGGCAUCAUUUGAAAUUGAAAACUCCGGUGGAUAGAGAUGGGCACGCGCAAGAUUAGAUAGUUGGUGAGGUAACGGCUCACCAAGUCUGCGAUCUUUAGGGGGCCUGAGAGGGUGAUCCCCCACACUGGUACUGAGACACGGACCAGACUCCUACGGGAGGCAGCAGUGAGGAAUAUUGGACAAUGGGUGAGAGCCUGAUCCAGCCAUCCCGCGUGAAGGACGACGGCCCUAUGGGUUGUAAACUUCUUUUGUAUAGGGAUAAACCUUUCCACGUGUGGGAAGCUGAAGGUACUAUACGAAUAAGCACCGGCUAACUCCGUGCCAGCAGCCGCGGUAAUACGGAGGGUGCAAGCGUUAUCCGGAUUUAUUGGGUUUAAAGGGUCCGUAGGCGGAUCUGUAAGUCAGUGGUGAAAUCUCACAGCUUAACUGUGAAACUGCCAUUGAUACUGCAGGUCUUGAGUGUUAUUGAAGUAGCUGGAAUAAGUAGUGUAGCGGUGAAAUGCAUAGAUAUUACUUAGAACACCAAUUGCGAAGGCAGGUUACUAAGCAACAACUGACGCUGAUGGACGAAAGCGUGGGGAGCGAACAGGAUUAGAUACCCUGGUAGUCCACGCCGUAAACGAUGCUAACUCGUUUUUGGGCUUUCGGGCUCAGAGACUAAGCGAAAGUGAUAAGUUAGCCACCUGGGGAGUACGUUCGCAAGAAUGAAACUCAAAGGAAUUGACGGGGGCCCGCACAAGCGGUGGAUUAUGUGGUUUAAUUCGAUGAUACGCGAGGAACCUUACCAAGGCUUAAAUGGGAAAUGACAGGUUUAGAAAUAGACUUUUCUUCGGACAUUUUUCAAGGUGCUGCAUGGUUGUCGUCAGCUCGUGCCGUGAGGUGUUAGGUUAAGUCCUGCAACGAGCGCAACCCCUGUCACUAGUUGCCAUCAUUAAGUUGGGGACUCUAGUGAGACUGCCUACGCAAGUAGAGAGGAAGGUGGGGAUGACGUCAAAUCAUCACGGCCCUUACGCCUUGGGCCACACACGUAAUACAAUGGCCAGUACAGAGGGCAGCUACACAGCGAUGUGAUGCAAAUCUCGAAAGCUGGUCUCAGUUCGGAUUGGAGUCUGCAACUCGACUCUAUGAAGCUGGAAUCGCUAGUAAUCGCGCAUCAGCCAUGGCGCGGUGAAUACGUUCCCGGGCCUUGUACACACCGCCCGUCAAGCCAUGGAAGUCUGGGUACCGAAGUCG